GGGGGAACCGAACCCCCGGAGUCCGCCUGCAGGGGCUGGCUCCAAACCACCCCGAGCGGCAUUGGCUGAAGACCGUUGUCGUAAGCAUCGAGGGAAAAGGCUCACCCAUGUGGUGUGUCAGGU
rnacentral:ncRNA from 1 species